rnacentral:rRNA from 1 species
UCCCAUAUUAUUCAAUGAUCGCAUGAUGAUUGAAUGAAAGCUCCGGCGGUUAGAGAUGGGCAUGCGGGUCAUUAGCUUGUUGGUGAGGUAACGGCUCACCAAUGCUGCGAUGACUAGGGGGCCUGAGAGGGUGAUCCCCCACACUGGUACUGAGACACGGACCAGACUUCUACGGAAGGCAGCAGUGAGGAAUAUUGGGCAAUGGAGGCAACUCUGACCCAGCCAUGCCGCGUGCAGGAUGACGGCCCUAUGGGUUGUAAACUGCUUUUCUGAGAGAAGAAUCCCCCCGAAUUUUCGGGGGUUGCCGGUAUCUCAGGAAUAAGCAUCGGCUAACUCCGUGCCAGCAGCCGCGGUAAUACGGAGGAUGCAAGCGUUAUCCGGAUUCAUUGGGUUUAAAGGGUGCGUAGGCGGGAAAGUAAGUCAGUGGUGAAAGCCUGCAGCUCAACUGUGGAACUGCCAUUGAUACUGCUUUUCUUGAGUUUGGUUGAGGUAGGCGGAAUGUGUAAUGUAGCGGUGAAAUGCUUAGAUAUUACACAGAACACCGAUUGCGAAGGCAGCUUACUAAACCGAUACUGACGCUGAUGCACGAAAGCGUGGGGAGCGAACAGGAUUAGAUACCCUGGUAGUCCACGCUGUAAACUAUGAUCACUCGCUGUUGGCAAUACAUCGUCAGCGGCUGAGCGAAAGCAUUAAGUGAUCCACCUGGGGAGUACGGUCGCAAGAUUGAAACUCAAAGGAAUUGACGGGGGCCCGCACAAGCGGUGGAACAUGUGGUUUAAUUCGAUGAUACGCGAGGAACCUUACCUGGGCUUAAAUGUAGACUGCAUUUCCGGGAAACCGGAAUUUCCUUCGGGACCGUCUACAAGGUGCUGCAUGGUUGUCGUCAGCUCGUGCCGUGAGGUGUCGGGUUAAGUCCCAUAACGAGCGCAACCCCUAUCGUUAGUUGCCAGCGAGUAAUGUCGGGGACUCUAGCGAAACUGCCGGUGUAAACCGAGAGGAAGGUGGGGAUGACGUCAAAUCAGCACGGCCCUUAUGUCCAGGGCUACACACGUGUUACAAUGGUCAGUACAAAGGGCAGCUACCUGGUGACAGGAUGCUAAUCUCGAAAACUGGUCUCAGUUCGGAUUGGAGUCUGCAAUUCGACUCCAUGAAGCUGGAAUCGCUAGUAA